GAGCUCGCGAGUCCACGGCGGAGAUGUGAGGAUCCGACCUCAGCUGCAGCCACCAAAGCGGACCUCUGCUCUCAUAGCAUGGAAGGGGACCAAAGCAGAGGUGUCCACCUCGGUGCAGCUCACUGCUGCAUGGGUUUCUUCUCGCUCUGCUAUCCACCUGUGGCUGCCGUAUGAACAAGUGAUAUGGCAUCUGUCAGCUUCAUCAAAUGACGUGCAUGACGCUCACACAUGGAUUCGAAUACGAGACUUAUUAUUUUUACAAUAAAUAUAUUAAAUAAUAAAAAAAUCGAGUAAAUGAGUACAAUAUAAAAUAGCAUUAUAUAUAUAAAAAAAAGAUAAAUAAAAUAAAUAAAUAUUUUGAUAUUGCUCACCAUCAAUAUAACUAAAUUAAAUUUAAAUACCUAAACUAAUUAUAUUAUUUGACCCCUCAUAUUUCUCAACAUUUUUGGAAGGUAUAUUAAUGAUAAAUGUAGUUUCAACGUCAUUAUAGUAAUAAUGAAUUGAUGACUACCAACAAUACCGAUCAAACGCUGUUGUCACCGUUUCGUUGAUGUUGAGGUGGAACGAGAAUAGUUGCGGUUGACCAGUCCUGUCCAUGAAAUAUUCAUCUACAUAAUUUGACUGUAUUACUACUUAUCAUCAUCCUUACACUCAAAUAUGCGAACAUGCAUCAUAAUGAUAAACAUAUUGCAUGGUACAUCAUGAUGUGUGAUUGAUGUGCGGGUGUGGUGGAUGGAGAGCUACUUGGUGUCCUUCAUAUUAAUGGAGAACAGCGACUGCACGCGUAGCCUCCGACUCAGGCCACCGGGGAGGCAGAAGGCAGCAGUGUCAACGUCCCAUCGGAGACUUGCGGAGCUCGCCAUGUGGGGGCACGUCGGAGACUUCAUCAGCCACGAGGGGAGAUGGAAGUGGAGGCGUAGGGAGAGGAGGUGGCACAGUCGAUAAGGGUCCCCAGACGCGGAUCAGAACGCGACGUCAGGGCCAGCGGAAGUGGACGAAGGACGCCGAAGGGGGGCGCAGAGCCGCUGCUGCGCAGGCGGAAAGCACGGCGAGAAGAGGAAGGGAGAUGGGGAAGACAAGCCGCGUGGCUGCGGUACAUGGGGGAUGGCGGAAAUGGCGGCGAGGAUGGCGAGGAAGACGAAAGGAAGCGGGGGAGGACAAGUGGUUGAUGAUGGUGAUUGCAUUGCGUACG
rnacentral:lncRNA from 1 species